rnacentral:rRNA from 1 species
AUUGAACGCUGGCGGCAUGCCUUACACAUGCAAGUCGAACGGCAGCGGGGGAGAAGCUUGCUUUUCCUGCCGGCGAGUGGCGAACGGGUGAGUAAUACAUCGGAACGUGCCCUGUAGUGGGGGAUAACUAGUCGAAAGAUUAGCUAAUACCGCAUACGACCUGAGGGUGAAGGUGGGGGACCGCAAGGCCUCAUGCUAUAGGAGCGGCCGAUGUCUGAUUAGCUAGUGGGUGGGGUAAAGGCCUACCAAGGCGACGAUCAGUAGCUGGUCUGAGAGGACGAUCAGCCACACUGGGACUGAGACACGGCCCAGACUCCUACGGGAGGCAGCAGUGGGGAAUUUUGGACAAUGGGCGAAAGCCUGAUCCAGCAAUGCCGCGUGUGUGAAGAAGGCCUUCGGGUUGUAAAGCACUUUUGUCCGGAAAGAAAUGGCUCUGGUUAAUACCUGGGGUCGAUGACGGUACCGGAAGAAUAAGGACCGGCUAACUACGUGCCAGCCGCCGCAGUAA